GACGAACGCUGGCGGCGUGCUUAACACAUGCAAGUCGAACGGAAAGGCCCUGCUUUUGUGGGGUGCUCGAGUGGCGAACGGGUGAGUAACACGGGAGUAACCUGCCCUUGACUUUGGGAUAACUUCAGGAAACUGGGGCUAAUACCGGAUAGGAGCUCCUGCUGCAGGGUGGGGGUUGAAAAGUUUCGGCGGUUGGGGAUGGACUCGCGGCUUAUCAGCUUGUUGGUGGGGUAGUGGCUUACCAAGGCUUUGACGGGUAGCCGGCCUGAGAGGGUGACCGGCCACAUUGGGACUGAGAUACGGCCCAGACUCCUACGGGAGGCAGCAGUGGGGAAUAUUGCACAAUGGGCGGAAGCCUGAUGCAGCAACGCCGCGUGCGGGAUGACGGCCUUCGGGUUGUAAACCGCUUUCGCCUGUGACGAAGCGUGAGUGACGGUAAUGGGUAAAGAAGCACCGGCUAACUACGUG
rnacentral:rRNA from 1 species